GGGAAGAUGGCUCAGUGGUAGAGCACUUGCCUUGCAUGCAUGGAGCUCUGGGUUCGAUUCCUCAGUACCA
rnacentral:tRNA from 1 species